rnacentral:lncRNA from 1 species
GGUAGGGAGGGAGUGCCAAUUUUUUAGUAUGUUUUGAGGGGGUUGACUCAUUGUGUAGCUCUAGAUGGCCCAGAACUCACAGAGAUCUGCCUGCCCUACUAAAGUGCCGGGAUUAAAGGAGUACACCACCUGGCCAAGCCGCCUCAAAGAUGGGUGUUUUGCCCGAGUGUAUUUAUGUGUAGCACAUAGGUAUGGUGCCUGCAGAGGCCAGAAGAGGGCAUGGACUCUCCUGAAGCUGGGCUUGGUGGGUUGCAAGUGGGGACUGGGGGCUGCACUUGAGUGCUCACAAUCGUUGGCCUGUCUGUCCACCCCGCCGCUGCUCUGGAUUGUUUUGUGUGUGGGUUUUAUCUGCACGCAAGUCUGUAGCCCAUCCGCGCCUGAUGCCCCCAAGGGCCUGGAAGUGGAGUUAAUAGACUUUUGUGAGCCAGCGUGUGAUGUGGGCACUGGUAGUGCCACCCCAUUCUCCAGAAGAACACUUCGUUCCUCUAACCACUGAGUGAGCCUCCGCCGUUUGAGGCAGGGUCUCACCAUAUAUCCCUGGCUGGCCUGGAACUGACUAUGUCGACCAGGUUGGCUUAGAACUCCACUUACCAGUGUUUUCUAAAUGCUGGGAUUAAAGAUGUGCCCUGGCAGGCACCACUUCUAAACCCAUUUUCCCUCCCCUCUCUCUGUCUCUCACAGUGCCAUCAAAUGGAACUUUA